AGUUUCAGAGAUGGUUUCCUUUCAGUAAGGGACAUACACACUGAAGGUGCAUGNCUGUCGUCAGAUAGUGUCGUGAGAUGUUGGGUUAAGUACCGCGACAAGAGCAACCAUCGUCUUUAGUUGUUACCAUUUAGUAGGACACUAUAAAGAAACUGCCGGAGAUAAGCCGGAAGAAGGUGGGGAUGACGUCAAGUCUUCAUGGCCAUUACGCGCUGGGCUACACACGUGUUACAAUGGCGGUGACAGUGGGCAGCAGACUCGCGAGANGAGCAAAUCCCAAAAAGCCGUCUCAGUUCGGAUUGUUAUCUGCAACUCGAGAGCAAGAAGGCGGAAUCAAUAGUAAUCGCGGAUCAGCAGGCCNCGGUGGAGAAGUUCCCAGGCCUUGUACACACCGCCUGUCACACCAUGUGAGAGGUUUCACCCGAAAACAGUGCCCUAUCUUCAUUGAGGCAGCUGACCAC
rnacentral:rRNA from 1 species